ensembl:snoRNA LOC120099073 small nucleolar RNA SNORA29
CUUUCUGUUAAAACCAAGAGCAGUAGUUUAGUGGCUAUGCUUAUGGGAUAGAUGAAAAGUGCCGUGAUCUGAAGAGGGGGAGUUGUUCCGUGUCUUUCCUCUAUAUGAAAUGGCUGAACAGAAAAAA